rnacentral:rRNA from 1 species
CAGUAGGGAAUCUUCCACAAUGGACGAAAGUCUGAUGGAGCAACGCCGCGUGAGUGAAGAAGGGUUUCGGCUCGUAAAACUCUGUUGUUAAAGAAGAACAUAUCUGAGAGUAACUGUUCAGGUAUUGACGGUAUUUAACCAGAAAGCCACGGCUAACUACGUGCCAU